rnacentral:rRNA from 1 species
GACAGGGGGUGCAAACGUUGUUCGGAAUUACUGGGCGUAAAGGGCGCGUAGGCGGGUAUUUAAGUCAGAGGUCAAAUCCCAGGGCUCAACCCUGGAACUGCCUUUGAUACUGGGUACCUAGAGUUCGGGAGAGGUGUGUGGAACUCCGAGUGUAGAGGUGAAAUUCGUAGAUAUUCGGAAGAACACCAGUGGCGAAGGCGACACACUGGCCCGAUACUGACGCUGAGGCGCGAAAGCGUGGGGAGCAAACAGG